rnacentral:rRNA from 1 species
GAUGAACGCUAGCUACAGGCUUAACACAUGCAAGUCGAGGGGAAACGACAUCGAAAGCUUGCUUUUGAUGGGCGUCGACCGGCGCACGGGUGAGUAACGCGUAUCCAACCUGCCCACCACUUGGGGAUAAUCUUGCGAAAGUAAGACUAAUACCAAAUGACGUCUCUAGAAGACAUCUGAAAGAGAUUAUAGAUUUAUCGGUGAUGGAUGGGGGUGCGUCUGAUUAGCUCGUUGGCGGGGUAACGGCCCACCAAGGCUACGAUCAGUAGGGGUUCUGAGAGGAAGGUCCCCCACAUUGGAACUGAGACACGGUCCAAACUCCUACGGGAGGCAGCAGUGAGGAAUAUUGGUCAAUGGACGAGAGUCUGAACCAGCCAAGUAGCGUGCAGGAAGACGGCCCUAUGGGUUGUAAACUGCUUUUAUAAGGGAAUAAAGUGAGUCUCGUGAGACUUUUUGCAUGUACCUUAUGAAUAAGGACCGGCUAAUUCCGUGCCAGCCGCCGCAGUAA